rnacentral:rRNA from 1 species
GUGUCAGCAGCCGCGGUAAUACGUAGGUGGCGAGCGUUAUCCGGAAUUAUUGGGCGUAAAGAGCGCGCAGGUGGUUGAUUAAGUCUGAUGUGAAAGCCCACGGCUUAACCGUGGAGGGUCAUUGGAAACUGGUCGACUUGAGUGCAGAAGAGGGAAGUGGAAUUCCAUGUGUAGCGGUGAAAUGCGUAGAGAUAUGGAGGAACACCAGUGGCGAAGGCGGCUUCCUGGUCUGUAACUGACACUGAGGCGCGAAAGCGUGGGGAGCAAACAGGAUUAGAUACCCUGGUAGUCCACGCCGUAAACGAUGAGUGCUAAGUGUUGGGGGUCGAACCUCAGUGCUGAAGUUAACGCAUUAAGCACUCCGCCUGGGGAGUACGGUCGCAAGACUGAA